GGUAGGUCAGGGACAGCAGGCUGUGUCCAGAGGUAGCAGAGGAAGGUCAGGGACAGCAGGCUGUGUCCAGGGGUAGCAGAGGAAGGUCAGGGACUGCAGGCUGUGUCCAGGGGUAGCAGAGGAAGGUCAGGGACAGCAGGCUGUGUCCAGAGGUAGCAGAGGAAGGUCAGGGACUGCAUGCUGUGUCCAGGGUUAGCAGAGGAAGGUCGUGGACAUUAUGCUGUGUCCAGAGGAAGGUCAGGGACUGCAUGC